GCAUUACUGAAGAGUCCAUAGUAGGACGAAACGGCCGUUCAGUAC
rnacentral:hammerhead_ribozyme from 1 species